AACGAACGUUAGCGGCGCGCUUAACACAUGCAAGUCGCACGAGAAAGGGCUUCGGCCCCGGUAAAGUGGCGCACGGGUGAGUAACACGUGGGUAAUCUUCCCUUUGGCGGGGGAUAACCUUCCGAAAGGAGGGCUAAUACCGCAUAAGACCACGCUGUCGAAAGACAGAGAGGUUAAAGCUGGCCUCUAUAUAUAAGCUAGCACCAGGGGAUGAGCCCGCGGCCCAUCAGGUAGUUGGUAGGGUAAUGGCCUACCAAGCCUAAGACGGGUAGCUGGUCUGAGAGGAGGAUCAGCCACACUGGAACUGAGACACGGUCCAGACUCCUACGGGAGGCAGCAGUGGGGAAUCUUGCGCAAUGGACGAAAGUCUGACGCAGCGACGCCGCGUGGGUGAUGAAGGCCUUCGGGUUGUAAAGCCCUGUGGGGAGGAGCGAAUAAGUAGAAGCUAAUACCUUCUAUGAUGACGGUACCUCCUUAGCAUGCACCGGCUAACUCUGUGCCAGCCGCCGCCGUAACAC
rnacentral:rRNA from 1 species